AGUGGGGGAAUAACUUCGGGAAACCGAGGCUAAUACCGCAUAAUACCCACGGGUCAAAGGAGCAAUUCGCUUGAGGAGGAGGUCGCGGCCGAUUAGUUAGUUGGCGGGGUAAUGGCCCCACCCAAGACGGUGAUCGGUAUCCGGCCUGAGAGGGCGCACGGACACACUGGAACUGAAACACGGUCCAGACUCCUACGGGAGGCAGCAGUGGGGAAUUUUGCGCAAUGGGGGAAACCCUGACGCAGCAACGCCGCGUGGAGGAUGAAGUCUCUUGGGACGUAAACUCCUUUCGAUCGGGACGAUUAUGACGGUACCGGAAGAAGAAGCCCCGGCUAACUUCGUG
rnacentral:rRNA from 1 species